CGCGUAGGCGGCCUGCCAAGUCAGGGGUGAAAGCCCCCAGCUCAACUGGGGAAGUGCCUUUGAUACUGGCGGGCUCGAGCGAGGUAGGGGUCGUGGGAACUUCCGGUGGAGCGGUGAAAUGCGUUGAUAUCGGAAGGAACGCCGGUGGCGAAAGCGCACGACUGGACCUCUUCUGACGCUGAGGCGCGAAAGCCAGGGGAGCAAACG
rnacentral:rRNA from 1 species